AUUGAACGCUGGCGGCAGGCCUAACACAUGCAAGUCGAGCGGAUGAAGGGAGCUUGCUCCUGGAUUCAGCGGCGGACGGGUGAGUAAUGCCUAGGAAUCUGCCUGGUAGUGGGGGAUAACGUCCGGAAACGGGCGCUAAUACCGCAUACGUCCUGAGGGAGAAAGUGGGGGAUCUUCGGACCUCACGCUAUCAGAUGAGCCUAGGUCGGAUUAGCUAGUUGGUGGGGUAAAGGCCUACCAAGGCGACGAUCCGUAACUGGUCUGAGAGGAUGAUCAGUCACACUGGAACGGAGACACGGUCCAGACUCCUACGGGAGGCAGAAGUGGGGAAUAUUGGACAAUGGGCGAAAGCCUGAUCCAGCAAUGCCGCGUGUGUGAAGAAGGUCUUCGGAUUGUAAAGCACUUUAAGUUGGGAGGAAGGGAAGUAAGUUAAUACCUUGCUGUUUUGACGUUACCAACAGAAUAAGCACCGGCUAACUUCGUG
rnacentral:rRNA from 1 species